rnacentral:misc_RNA from 1 species
AAUGAAAGAAAAAUCAUGAGUUUUCUAUUUGUCUUACUUUAUAUUUUCUUGCUUCUAGAGGAGAAAUAAACAAUUUAUAAACGUUAUUAUUCUCUGAGAAAAAUGUAAUAUAUUUAGGGCGGAAAAGUUGGCGGAAAUAUGUCACCCUUCUCAUUUUUUAGGACAUUAAUUACGUAUUGUUCCUUUUGUGCCAUUAUUACCUGUUUUAAGUAUUCUAUGUAAUGCAUUUUUGAUGACCAAUUUACAACCUCUCACCUGGGUCAGAUUAUUAGUAUGGGUGGCGAUAGGUUUAAUUCUAUAUUUUUCUUAUGGUAUGAGGCAUAGCAAACUUAACACGCUCAUACCAACUUCAAAUUCUUCUUUACUGCAACCUGGAACCAAUAUUACAGCGUAUAGUGCUGGACAAUCUACAGACUCUAGUUAUGGAACACCCGCAACAAGUGCUCGACCCUCAAUUGAAAAACUGGACGAAGAAAUCAAGUCACAUAAUUAAAAGUCACAACUUCGAGUUUAUAAACUUUGUGACAAAUUUAUACGAUUUUAUUCAUCUGUAAGUCCAUAAUAUUUUCUAUACCUCAGUUGUAGAUGUAAGUUAUUUAUCUAUAAAAAUCAUUAUCAAGAGUAUAGUUUGUUAACCAGGAAGACAUUUAAUACUAUCAAUAUAUGCUAUAUAUAUAUA